AUCUACAUCUCCAGGUUUAGGAGCAAACAGAGUAUGUUCAUAGAAGGAAUAUGUGUAUGGUCUUAGAAUACAAUGAAUAUGUUCUGCCAACUUAAUAAAGGUCUGAGGAGAAAGUGUAGCAAUGUCAAUUCGUGUUGAACAAUUUCCACCAACUUACUUAUAGGCGGACCUUGCCAAGUAUAUCUGUGAAAAUCAAGAUUCGAUCUCCAGUAAACUGAAGGAAUGCUGUGAAAAACCUCUGUUGGAAAAAUCCCACUGCCUUGCCGAAGUGGAAAAUGAUGAGAUGCCUGCUGACUUGCCUUCAUUAGCUGCUGAUUUUGUUGAAAGUAAGGAAGUUUGCAAAAACUAUGCUGAGGCAAAGGAUGUCUUCCUGGGCAUGUUUUUGUAUGAAUAUGCAAGAAGGCAUCCUGAUUACUCUGUCGUGCUGCUGCUGAGACUUGCCAAGACAUAUGAAACCACUCUAGAGAAGUGCUGUGCCGCUGCAGAUCCUCAUGAAUGCUAUGCCAAAGUGUUCGAUGAAUUUAAACCUCUUGUGGAAGAGCCUCAGAAUUUAAUCAAACAAAAUUGUGAGCUUUUUGAGCAGCUUGGAGAGUACAAAUUCCAGAAUGCGCUAUUAGUUCGUUACACCAAGAAAGUACCCCAAGUGUCAACUCCAACUCUUGUAGAGGUCUCAAGAAACCUAGGAAAAGUGGG
rnacentral:sRNA from 1 species